rnacentral:rRNA from 1 species
GACAGAGGGGGCAAGCGUUGCUCGGAAUCAUUGGGCGUAAAGGGCGCGUAGGCGGCCGACCAAGUCGGAUGUGAAAUCCCUCGGCUCAACCGAGGAACUGCACUCGAUACUGGUUGGCUAGAGUCCGGGAGGGGAUGGUGGAAUUCCCAGUGUAGCGGUGAAAUGCGUAGAUAUUGGGAAGAACACCGGUGGCGAAGGCGGCCAUCUGGACCGGUACUGACGCUGAGGCGCGAAAGCCAGGGGAGCGAAUGGG